rnacentral:rRNA from 1 species
GAGGAAUAUUGGGCAAUGCCCGCAAGGGUGACCCAGCAACGCCGCGUGGAGGAUGAAUGUCGUAAGAUUGUAAACUCCUGUUAGAGGGGAAGAAUAGUACCGGUUGGACCGGUAUAUGACUGUACCCUCAGAGAAAGCCCCGGCUAACUACGUGCCAGCAGCCGCGGUAAUACGUAGGGGGCAAGCGUUGUCCGGAUUUACUGGGUGUAAAGGGCGCGCAGGCGGAAUGGAAAGUCAGUGGUGAAAUCCUACAGCUUAACUGUAGAACUGCCGUUGAUACUUUCAUUCUUGAGUUCGGGAGAGAGAGACGGAAUUCCAGGUGUAGUGGUGAAAUACGUAGAUAUCUGGAAGAACACCAGUUGCGAAGGCGGUCUCUUGGUCUGAUACUGACGCUGAGGCGCGAAAGCGUGGGGAGCAAACA